rnacentral:rRNA from 1 species
GACGAACGCUGGCGGCGUGCUUAACACAUGCAAGUCGAACGGAGUGGCGAACGGAUGAGUAACACGUGGGUGAUCUGCCUUGCACUUCGGGAUAAGCUUGGGAAACUGGGUCUAAUACCGGAUAGUGCAAGAUGGGCGCGCGGCCUAGCUGCUGGUUGGGGGGGUAAUGGCCUACCAAGGCGCCGAGGGGUAGCCGGCCUGGGAGGGUGGACGGCCACAUUGGGACUGAGAUACGGCCCAGACUCCUACGGGGGGCAGCAGUGGGGAAUAUUGCACAAUGGUCGGAAGCCUAAUGCAGCGACGCCGCGUGGGGGAUGAAGGCCUUCGGGUUGUAAACUCCUUUCGACAGGGACGCGGUACCUGUAGAAGAAGCACCGGCUAACUACGUGCCAGCAGCCGCGGUAAUAC